GAUGAACGCUAGCGGCAGGCUUAAUACAUGCAAGUCGAGGGGCAGCGGGAGUAGCAAUACUUGCCGGCGACCGGCGCACGGGUGCGUAACACGUAUGUAAUCUGCCCAUCACAGGAGGAUAGCCCGGAGAAAUUCGGAUUAAUACUCCAUAAUAGAAGAUAAAGCAUUUUAUUUCUUGAAAGUUCCGACGGUGAUGGAUGAACAUGCGACUGAUUAGUUUGUUGGUGAGGUAACGGCUCACCAAGACUACGAUCAGUAGGGGUACUGAGAGGUUAAACCCCCACACUGGUACUGAGACACGGCCCAGACUCCUACGGGAGGCAGCAGUGGGGAAUUUUGGACAAUGGGCGCAAGCCUGAUCCAGCCAUGCCGCGUGCGGGACGAAGGCCUUCGGGUUGUAAACCGCGUUUCAGCCGGAAAGAAAUACGCCGUUUUUAAUACAGACGGUGGAUGACGGUACCGGAAGAAGAAGCACCGGCUAACUACGUGCCAGCAGCCGCGGUAAAGUGUG
rnacentral:rRNA from 1 species